AACAUGUAUAAAGAAAAUUCAAUAAAAUUUCGAUAUGAUAUGCUAUAUACCUCUAUCCACCAGACAAUUAAUAAUUCAAAAUAGGCAAACAGGAAUGACAGUCAGCCAGCUAUCGAAAGUAUUGCAACUUAGCGAAAGAACGAUCUAUAGAACAUACAAACAACAUACAGAAACAGGAAUACUAUCCCCUUUGAAGUCUACUGACCGUCCUCGAUUAACAUAUCAGGAAGAGGAAGUAUUAAUAAGUAUGAGGGUUAGUUCCCACCAAGCUGCGGGGGGCGAUGGGCGAAGCGAAUUGACGUCAUGACUGGCGAUGCACGGAGAACUUGGGAAAAGAAAAAAAAAAAAAAAAAAUGCGAA
rnacentral:lncRNA from 1 species